GAUGAACGCUCGCGGCAGGCUUAAUACAUGCAAGUCGUGGGGCAGCAGGACUGUAGCAAUACAGUUGCUGGCGACCGGAAAACGGGUGCGGAACACGUACGCAACUUACCCUGAACUGGGGGAUCGCCCGGGGAAACCCGGAUUAAUACCCCGUAAUAUAAUGGAGUGGCAUCACUUCAUUAUUAAAGCUCCGGCGGUUCGGGAUGGGCGUGCGGCUGAUUAGGUAGUUGGUUGAGGUAACGGCUCACCAAGCCUACGAUCAGUAACUGGUGUGAGAGCACGACGAGUCACAAGGGCAGUGAGACACGAGCCCGACACCUACGGGCGGAAGCAGUAAGGAAUAUUAAGCAAUGGAGGCAACUCUGACCCAGCCAUGCCGAGUGGAGGAUGAAUGCCCUCCGAGUAGUGAGCUUCUUUUAAAGGGGAAGAAACCUCUGUACUCUUACGCAGUUGACGGUACCCUAGGAAUAAGCACCGGCUAACUCCGUG
rnacentral:rRNA from 1 species